AUUAAUUUCCUGUGCGUGAAAAUGUUGUGAUUAAAAUUUAAGUUUUGAGUUAUUCAGUUUAACUUAGCGGUUUGCCGAUGUAAGACGUGCGUGUCCACUGCGAACUUCGGUUCUAGUAGCCUACGGGAGAGCGGCGGAAAAAUGUGAUCUCUUGGCAUUAUUGGUGAUUGCCGUGAUCUACGCUUGUACGCAGAAAAAUGUGACAAAUUUGGUGGAAUUCCACACGGUUCAGAUAAACCAAGCAACAUCGCACCGCAUGCACAGUUAAACUCAAAACAAAAAUUGAAUUGCUACGAAGUCGAAAUAACAGUUAAGCGCCUGUUAUUUUUCUUGUCUAACUCCGGUCUACAUGACAUUUUAAAUACUUUCGAAUUAAUCUUCCUCCUAAAAAGUAUUUAAAUUUGAUUGAAGGAUCGAGGGUAUUUUGCGCUAACAAAAAUUCAUAAAAAGUUGAAACAUACUGAAAAUCUUUUGAUUUCCUUAUUGCACACGAUUCUAUUUUAUUUUCACAAUCUGUAACAUAUCACUGAAGGAUCUCAGUUUUAAAAUUUCUUUACUGCAUUUUGCUUUCGUGCACGAUUCGGAUGAUUUAUCGAUAACUUCUGCAUUAAUAGGCGACAAUUAAUAUAUCCUAGCCGAAGAACGAUGCAACCAUUUAGCAAAAAUUGGGCUUCGUAAUUCAACUGCCGAAAGUAACGGUUAUUGAAAAAAAAUCCUUAACCUAACGUUUAUAUUUCUGCUAAUUUUUUAAGUUUUUAAAACAAAGUAGUGUACUUGAAAAAUUAACAUAACUCAUAAAAUCCGAAAAGCUGCAAUUAGCAUUGCAGUAAAAGCUUUAGUAAGCUUUGAAAAUGGGUUUGCUGAGUAAAAAAUAUAUUAUUUCGACGAUUCUGCAUAUAUCACUUCUUUUGAUACCAAAUACAUGUUUAAAAAAAAAAUCUAUUUUGUAAAAAAAAGAAAGCUUUUUAAAUUUUUAAAAGAAACACAAAUUUCUAAAUUAUUUUAACUAAGAAGCUAACGUUUAUAUUCCUGCACGUUGUCAAAUUUUUUAAAAGAAAGUAGUGUACUUGAAAACUAAAUAAAACUCUUAAAAUCAAAAAGCUGCAAUUAGCAUUGCAGUAAAAGCUUUGGCAAACUUUUGUAACCGAUUUGUGGAGCAAAGUAUACUUGUAUGUCGAUUCUAAACAAAUUACUCUUUUGAUACUAAAUGUAUGUUAUUAGAAAACAUUAAUUUUGUAAAUGAGCUUUAAAAAGCUCUUAAAAGUAAUUUACUUGUUGACAUGAGAAAUGCUUAAAAGUUAGCAGUAUAUGAUAUAAUAGUGUUUUGAAAAACUAUAAGCAUUUUUAUUAAAAAACUGUAAUUAGCAUUACAGCAAAAGCUUUAGAAAGCUCUUUUAAUAAAAAGGUUUUGCAAGUAAAUAUAUCUGGUCUACAAUAGCACAAAUACAUACAUGUGUGUUAAGUCUUCUGAAACUAAAACUUUUAAAAAGCUUGAUGUUCCGUUUGUAAAUGAUUUAUAUUUUGAGCUGUAGGAAGCUCUGAAUUAAACAAAUGUAUAACACAUUUACUUUUAGUGCUAUUUUAAAAUGAAAAAUUGUAAUAUCUUUGGAUAUUUGUGAAUAAAAAUAAAUAUGUAACAUA